rnacentral:rRNA from 1 species
AUGUUUUGUAGGCUGAUUGGGGAUAGGUUUUCAGAAACAUCAGCUUGUGACAAUGUCAGAACUUUCCAUGCUCUCAAUCAGACUGGCACUGUCAAUGAUUAUGUGCUCAAAUUUGAACAGUCUAUGAACUUGCUUAGAAGAGAUAACCCUGCCUUGCCUGCUAAUUAUUACAAAGCAAGUUUCAUUGCUGGUCUGAGUGAUACCAUCCAACAUCAUGUCCAAUGUCAUGAACCAGGUGAUUUACAAAAAGCUAUUUGGUUGGCCAGAAGGUGUUGGGGAACGUUGCAGAAAAUAAAAUUUUUCCUACGGUUCCACCAAGAUCAAUCUAUGAGUUCAUCUAAGCAACGAGUGAUAGCAGAGAGAUGCAUCUACAUACCACUUUGUAGAUCGCGUGCGGAAGCAUUCAAGAGAACGGGGUUGAGGUAG